rnacentral:rRNA from 1 species
ACUGGGGACAAUACUGGAUAGGCAAUUAUUCCUGUAAUGGUUUUUUGUUUAAAUGUUUUUUCGCCUAAGGAUGAGUCUGCGGCCGAUUAGGUAGUUGGUUAGGUAAUGGCUUACCAAGCCGUUGAUCGGUACGGGUUGUGAGAGCAAGAGCCCGGAGAUGGAACCUGAGACAAGGUUCCAGGCCCUACGGGGUGCAGCAGGCGCGAAACCUCCGCAAUGUGAGAAAUCGCGACGGGGGGAUCCCAAGUGCCAUUCUUAACGGGAUGGCUUUUCAUUAGUGUAAAGAGCUUUUGGAAUAAGAGCUGGGCAAGACCGGUGCCAGCCGCCGCGGUAACACCGGCAGCUCUAGUGGUAACAAUUUUUAUUGGGCCUAAAGCGUCCGUAGCCGGUUUAAUAAGUCUCUGGUGAAAUCCUGUAGCUUAACUGUGGGAAUUGCUGGAGAUACUAUUAGACUUGAGA